GCCUUGGUGGUGGAAUUGGUAGACACGAGGGACUUAAAAUCCCUUGAACAUUGCGUUCGUGCGGGUUCAAGUCCCGCCCGAGGUA
rnacentral:tRNA from 1 species